GAUGUCGGGACUCAGGGGACCACUGUAUAAUAUGGAUGGCCAACGGGGACAAAAUUAUGCAGUAAAAUAGACACUGUGGACUAUUCAAUUGUAUGCAGAGAUUUUUGGGACAAUUUUAUGUAUUGUAUGCUGUGUGUUAGUACAAUGAAAAUUGUUUGGUAAAUAAAAUUUGACAUAUUUAUUGUAUUUAUCUAAUACAGUACCACAUAACAGUGAUUUCUACUUCGUUUCACGAGUGUCAUCAAGGUGUUUCGUGAAACCAAUCAACUAACUGACAUCGGUUGACCAAAGAAUUCUUACGGUUGCCUGCUUUGAAAGAUAAAUUCAAAAAUCAAAAAGCAUGCCUUCGUGUAUAAUAAAGGGUUGUAGAAACACCUGGAGGGACAAAGGGAAAAAUAUAAUCAUGCAUGUUUUUCCUAAAGAUCGUGGGAUUAUCCGUAAAUGGAUUGAACAGGCACCGGAUCAUUUUCCCAAUAUUGAAGAAUGGGUAGAAAAAAUAUUUGAGUAAAAAAAAA